rnacentral:rRNA from 1 species
GACGAACACUGGCGGCGCGCUUAACACAUGCAAGUCGAACGGAAAGGCCUGCUUUCCCUUGUGGAUUGCGGGUACUCGAGUGGCGAACGGGUGAGUAACACGUGAGUGAUCUGCCCCCAACUUGGGUAUAAGCCUGGGAAACUGGGUCUAAUUCCCGAUAGGACUGCAGGGUGGUGCCUGUGGUGGAAAACGAUUUUCUAGUGGUUGGGGAUGAGCUCGCGGCCUAUCAGCUUGUUGGUGGGGUAAUGGCCUACCAAGGCGGCGACGGGUAGCCGGCCUGAGAGGGUGGACGGCCACAUUGGGACUGAGAUACGGCCCAGACUCCUACGGGAGGCAGCAGUGGGGAAUAUUGCACAAUGGGCGGAAGCCUGAUGCAGCGACGCCGCGUGGGGGAUGACGGCCUUCGGGUUGUAAACUCCUUUCGACCGCGAGGAAGCCACCUGGUUGGAAGGGUGGUGACGGUAGUGGUAGAAGAAGCACCGGCUAACGACG